rnacentral:rRNA from 1 species
UACGAAGGGGGCUAGCGUUGCUCGGAAUCACUGGGCGUAAAGCGCACGUAGGCGGAUCGCUAAGUCAGGGGUGAAAUCCUGGAGCUCAACUCCAGAACUGCCUUUGAUACUGGCAAUCUCGAGUCCGGGAGAGGUGAGUGGAACUGCGAGUGUAGAGGUGAAAUUCGUAGAUAUUCGCAAGAACACCAAGUGGCGAAGGCGGCUCACUGGCCCGGUACUGACGCUGAGGUGCGAAAGCGUGGGGAGCAA